UUUCCGUAGGUGAACCUGCGGAAGGAUCAUUAUUGUAUAACCGAGGUGCGAGGGCUGUCGCUGACCCGAAAGGUCGUGCACGCCCGAGGGCCCUCACACACAUCCAUCUCACCCCUAUGUGCACCACCGCGUGGGUCCCCCUUUGGCUUGUUCGGAGAGGGGCUUACGUUUUCACACAAACUUUGUAUGCAGUGUAGAAUGUAUUUUUUGUUUUUGCGAUCACGCAAUCAAUACAACUUUCAACAACGGAUCUCUUGGCUCUC
rnacentral:misc_RNA from 1 species